GUGUUCACUUCAGCAGCAUGGCUACUAAAAUUGGAACGAUACAGAGAAGAUUAGCAUGGUCCCUGUGCAAGGAUGACAUGCAAAUUCAUGAAGCGUUCCAGGAAAAA